CAGUCACAUCACGUUGAAAUACCGGUUCUCGUACGAUCACCGAAGUUAAGCAACACUGAGUCUUAUCAGUAUCUAGAUUAGUAACCGUUUGGAAAUACCAGGUGCUGUAA